CAGAUAUCGCUGGAAUGCCUCUCUCUAGCGCAAACUGAACUUGAGCUUCGUGUUCAUCCUUGGGAGCAAACGACAUGGUAAGAACAUCUCUUUCAAAGAUAUAUCCACCAAAACUGGCUACACCGCAACCAACAUCCAAAAUCACUCUGGUAUGCUUUCCCCAUCCGAUCUUCGGCACUGCCUAAAUUUUGCAAAAGUCAAUCCAUGUCAUAUCAAAUAUGCCUUCUUACUAAAUAGGCAUUGAAAUAUAAAGCUUUUAUCAUUACCCUCUGCAGGAAAUCUAUGUAAUGGAGAGCUCCAUGGAUAAACUGAGUUCCACCUCCAGGGAAUGUCAAGAACUCACCGGUUACCUUAACCCAGUUUUGAUGUCCCUUAACUUCUGCCAAUUUUGUGCGAGGGACAUUGUGGUACCA
rnacentral:lncRNA from 1 species